ACCGGAUCAAAUAUGUUUUGGGAUCUGCUCGGUGGAAUUUUUGAGUUCAUUUUCGGACUUUUAUUUCCCAGUUCUGGGAGCGGAGACGAGCCAGAUUCUGAGGAGGUGGAAACCACAUAAAGAACAAAAAAAUAAUUUUUAUACGUGUUUUUAAUUGUAAAAGUUCCAUGUUUUCGCUUUAUUAUGUCUACGUGUGUUUAUAUUUAACAUAAAUUGCUUCAACAGC